ensembl:lncRNA
GGCGGGGGGAAGGGGCGGGCGCGGCGGCGGCGGCGGCGGGCUUCCCCGCCUCCUCGCCUCGGUGCGCCCCGCGCUCGCUCGGCCGCUGCUCGCCCCGGCGCCCCGCCGCGCCGCGCCUCGGCCUCCCGCUCUGGCCGCGCCUCCUCCCGCCCUCCGGGGCCGGCGCUCUCCGCUUCCCCCUUUUCCUCCUGCGCCUCCGCCUCCUUCCACACAAAUACCAACUCCUCACCCCGAGCCCAGAUCUCGCCGCCGCCGCCGCCGCCACACUCCGCUCAGGCUCGGCCUCGCGAGACUUCCGUGCUGCCUCGGCCCGCCCCGCCGCCUCGUCCCUACUCGCCUGCUCGCCUGCUCGCUCCUCCUCCUGGGCCAAUCGAACGGCCCGUGCGCCGCGGCGGCCCCGCCCACUCAGCCCGAGUUCCUCCCGGAUUGGGGGCUGCCGGGACGGCUCCCCCUCCCCUCCCCCCGCGCGCGCGCGCGCGCUGGCUGGCCUCUGCGCGUGACGUCAGCGCGCCGCCGCCUUCGCCGCUAGUCGCGCGGCUCCCGCCCUCCGCGGUGCAACAGCAGCGAAGCUCGCCGCCCCGGGGGGCUCCGGGCCGCCCUUUGGAGCGGGGCGUCGACGCUGCAGCCGCCGCAGCCGCCGCCUCGGGAGCCGCUUAUGACUAGGCAUCCAGAGACAAGGUGCUGUAUUUGCUCUUGCCUGUUUCCAUUGGCUGUAAAGGUGAAAAAUCCAUUUAAAAGGACAGGUUAAAGUGCAGUUCCAGAGCCACAGGACUCUAAAGUUUUCAUGAGCCGUUCCUUAUUCAGAGUUUCCACUUGAACUUAAUAGCAGAAGUGGGUUUGGAGUUCCAGGCCUUGGAAGGCGCACCAGCUACAAAGGUUCCCUUACUACUUACGGCACGUGAAACGUCCCUGGUGGGUCCAUUCACUUCCGACCCUGUACUUCUGCUGGGAUCUUCCGGGGGCAACGCCACUCACGAGUGUAGAUUUCUGCCAUGACUUGCGGUCCCCGGCGUCGCCUGAGCAUUCGAUGCUGCUUGACACUUCUUUUCCCUGGUCCUCACUCUGGCACCCGCACCACCAUUUUGCUCAGCGGAUUCUCGAAAUGACUUUUUUCAAAGCUCAUAAGAAAUCUGCCUGUGUGCUCUCCAUUCCCUCGCCUCCCCACAGUGGCCCAGUGCCAGCGUCCCCUGCUUCAAGGCAGUUGGAGGGAUCCAAGUUCGUUCGCUCAGACACCCAGGGUCCCCUCAUGGCUGCUCCUGGCUGAGCCCGAGUUCCCGUCUCCACCUGCGCUCCCCCUCCUCCCAUCCCGGGGACCUGCCCUGUGCCCUGGGCUCUCUUCCCUUGGCAACGUCUCUCCCUGUCUUUAGAAACAGGGCUCUCUCUUGACCCCAUGUCCCCCAGGAGUCACUGCCCAUCUCCUUGCAGUCCCAGCCAAGCCCUGAGAGCAGGUCUGCGCUGACCGUCUCCGCUCCAUCUGUUGAGCCGCAGGUACCGCAUCAUCACGUGUGGUGGAGCCCGCACGGGUGAGGCCUUUCUGACCUCACUUCUCAUCCUCGUGCUCAUGAGGUUCCCAGACCCCCUCCUCGGCUCUGCCAUCCCAUUCAUCCACCUGGUCCGCCUUCUGGCCUCUGGCUUCCCCUCCUCCUGCCUGCUGCCCCGUGUCCCCCUGAGUCACCCAUCCUCGUGGUCUCGACAGCCGCGGGCGGCUGACGAUUCUCAGCUGCCUGUGGCUCUCCCCAGAGCUCUAGAUCCACAUGCACUGUCUGUCCUCGGGGGUCCCGCGGGGUCCGUCCCUGCACCUGCCCGCUCACCCGUCACACCCACUUGCCCGGGACGGAAACCUGGAAACCAUCUUCGACUCCCUUGGCUCCGUAACCCCCACCGUCAGCCAUCAGGUUCUCCUAAAUCUUUCUCACACCAGCUUUUCUCUUUCCCCGCCAUCCCUGCUGUGCUGCAGGCCCCGUCCCACCGUCUCACCAAAACCUUUGCCAACCAGCUGCGUGACCUGCUCCAGCCCUCCUUUCCCAAGGCUCUCCGGAGGCUUCCUAACCUGCAGGUGGAACCACAUCAUUCCAGUCGAAACUCAAAGUUUGGAGCCGCUCCUCCAGUAGGCAUUUCAAACGCGCAGCCUUGUUUUCCACCCCUCCUGCCUCCCCCAGCUCCAGUGGUUCAGACCUUUGUUUUCAGGCUGGCCAUUCUCUGCCCAGGAGACCCUUUCUCACCGCCUUUGACAUUCCUCCUCUUCCAAAGCAGCUCAGGUGGCAUCUCAAAGAAGCCUUCCCUGGAAGGGCAUUUCGGUAGCAUUCCGCCCAAAUUGCUAUCAUCGUCUUCACGGUGAAAGUGACCUGUUAACCUUCCUGCUUGUCCACCAAGCUGCGCCUUUGAGGGCAGGGGCAGUUUCUCUUCUGCCUCCAGCCUCGGAGUGGACCAGGGCCAGCCCGAUGCAGGACGCGCGGUCGGCCCCAUCGGAGCAGAAACGCCCGGCGCUGCCCCUCCUGGUUUCGUCCUCCACCCCCACCGCCUGUGGAACGCAGAGUGGUUGCAUGCCAUGUACAACUGAAUCACCUUGCUGUACGCCUGGAAACUGCCACCACACUGUUAAUCAGCCAAACUCCAGGACGAAAUAAAAAGUUUUCUAAAAAGUCCCAGCUCCUUAGCUGGGCUAAAAGGGAAAUGUGGCAUAAUAGGGGAAAAAAAAAAAAGAAGUUUCCAUGAGACAGACCCAGAUUUUAAUAGCGGUUCCACUACUUAUCGGUUCAGUGAUCUCGGUAAAAAGGCACAGAAUUUACUGUCUUCGCCGUUUUCAUGUGUGCGGCUCAUUGGUGCCGAGGACGUCUGGGUAGCCACGCAUCCCACCACCGCUGUCCUUCCCCCGGGCUCCUUUCAUCUUGCCAAACCGAAGCUCUCUUCCUGCUGAACAGUAACCCCCGACUCGGACUCCCCACAGCCCACCCCCGACACCCACCUUUCCCUUUGUGUCUCCCAACACCUUUCUGUCUCCGUGAACUUGACUGUCCAGAUAACGUCAUUCGUAUCAGCGAAUCAUGCAGCGUUUGUCCUUUUACGUCUGGCUUAUUUCACUUCACAGAGUCCCCAGUACUCAUCCACGUCACGAUGCAUGUCAGAAUUUCCUUCCUUUCUAGGGCUGAAUAAUGGUCCAUUGUAUACAUAUACACACACACACACACACACAUAUCACAUUUUACUAAUCCAUUCAUUCCCUCAGUGGAUAAUUGAGUUUCUUCCACAUUUUAGGUGUCGUGAAUAAUGCUGCUGUGAACAUGGGUGUUCAAUUAAACACGUAUUUUAUAAGCAUGUUUUGUUUUUCUUUUUUUAAUAGCAGAUGAAGAAAAGCUUAUGAGAGCCAAAUCAUCUAUUUUGAAUUGGUGCUUGAAUUUUUCACUUGGUAUCAGAUCUUUUGAAUAUUUUAACCAGCCGUAACCUUUCCCUAUCAAGACGAAAAGUGAUGGCUGGAAGCUUUCUCCCCGUUUAAAAGAAUGGUGAAGUGGUUAACUGUUUUCAAGCAUUCCACCUACUGCCUCC